GAUUUUUUGCAUUAAAGACCGAAGUGCAACAACAAUUUUAAGACGAUUUCUUCUCUACUGUGAUGGCCGGAAAUCAAAUCUCCGCCAGCAUCUGUUUCCUAUUCCCGAUCGAAUCGCCCUUCUUGUUUUGGCUAUCUAUCACUGGAAAUACCAACCGAUCCUCAUCGGAAAUUAGCUGUGAACCAAAAAAUAGAAGGCAUGGUGGGAUUUUUCGCGAUUCCGUUGGAAAUUUCAGCUAGGUUAUUGUGGACUACCAACUUCUUCCGCCAUAAGCGAUCUUGAUUUUCUUUUUUUUCUUUUACUUAAUUUCUAUUUCCUUCUCGAGAUUACUGUUCUUGUUUUAGGUUAGUACUAAAUCUUCGCCUUGCAUAAAUUUGAAAUUCCUUACUAAUUUCACCUCUGAGGCGCUGGGGUUGAAGAAAGGAGUAGGAGAUUCGAAUGGAAUCUGGUCAGUUCUUGUUUAAUCUGCCACCUUGCGGUGGGAACAUGCUUUACCUUGGCGGAACCGGCGGCUAUUCUUAUCCGCGAGUCUUUGUUCCUUUUAACAAUCCGUUCAAUUGUUGCCUUGUUUCUUUCAUCAUUAUUUGUCGGACCUGGACGAUUUUUUGCAUUGAAGACCGAAAUACAAUAACAGAAAAUGUCUCUCAUAUUUAGCUGCUCAAGAGUGCUCUUAAUGACAAAUUCUGACUUAAAGAUUUGGGGAUCUCUCAAAGUUUUUUCUUGGUCUUGCGUUUGACCGAUCUUCUUCUGGCUUGUUUUUAUCACAAAGACCCUAUACAAUUUACAUUCGCAUCUUCUUGAAGAUGUUGGACUGACUUCUUGGUGUCAAGCCCACAACAGUGCCCAUUGAUCCUUCACUAAAGUUGACUGCUUCUUAGAUGGAUAUCCUUCAUGACCCAACUGCUUACAGGAGAUUAGUUGGAAGAUUGUUUUAUCUAACCAUUUCAAGACCUGAUAUCAUAUUUGUUGUACGUAAACUCAGUCAAUUGUUUCCCGCUCAUCUGUUGAGAUAUAUCAAAAGUUCCCCUGGCAAAGGGAUUUUCUUAUCCAAGGUUCAAGACAUCUCAAUUCGGGCAUUUGCUUUAUGCUAAUUGGGGGUCACUGGAUUUUGUGCCUUUCUUGAGAAUUCCAACUAAACAUAUGGAACUGUUUGAGACGGAGUCAUAGAUGGUUCUGAAAAGGUGUUAUAAGGCUCCUUCCCCUAGUCAACUAGCUCUUCAAAGCUAACAUUUGUAUUCCACCUGUAUAUCUGUUUCCUCUUUUAAGCAGGAAGGGAGUUGAGAGAUAUUCUCUUCCCAUCUUGAGGGAGAGGGAGAGGGAGAGUAUUGGAAGAGUUGAUUGAGAGGUGAAGUUUAGUUAGUCGAUUAGAAAGUGGUUAUUAGAUUUGUUAUUAUUAUAACAAAUUAUUUACCUUUCUAGUUUAUAGAUAUCAUUGGGUUAUUGUUACUCUUCUUCUAUAUUGGGAAGUAAGGUUAAUUAGCACCCCUCAAAUUGUUAUAGCCUAAUCAAAUUGGUGAUCAGUGCUUACAUCCCAUAACCACAAAUUAAUCAGUUAUUUAAGAAUGUCACGUCAUGGUGGGCAGCUGUACCCCAAUUUUUAAUUAAAAUAAUUCACCCCUAAACCCCAAAUUAAAAGUUAUUUUAAUACAUUUAAUAUUACACCAACAUCAUCUUCUUCUUCUUGCUUCUUCAAUAAAACCUCAUGAUUGAAGAUCAGAAUUUAAAAA